GAUGAACGCUGGCGGCGUGCCUAAUACAUGCAAGUCGAGCGAACAGACGAGGAGCUUGCUCCUCUGACGUUAGCGGCGGACGGGUGAGUAACACGUGGAUAACCUACCUAUAAGACUGGGAUAGCUUCGGGAAACCGGAGCUAAUACCGGAUAAUAUAUUGAACCGCAUGGUUCAAUAGUGAAAGACGGCUUUGCUGUCACUUAUAGAUGGAUCCGCGCCGCAUUAGCUAGUUGGUAAGGUAACGGCUUACCAAGGCAACGAUGCGUAGCCGACCUGAGAGGGUGAUCGGCCACACUGGAACUGAGACACGGUCCAGACUCCUACGGGAGGCAGCAGUAGGGAAUCUUCCGCAAUGGGCGAAAGCCUGACGGAGCAACGCCGCGUGAGUGAUGAAGGUCUUCGGAUCGUAAAACUCUGUUAUUAGGGAAGAACAAAUGUGUAAGUAACUAUGCACGUCUUGACGGUACCUAAUCAGAAAGCCACGGCUAACUACGUG
rnacentral:rRNA from 1 species